rnacentral:rRNA from 1 species
UGGGGAAUAUUGGACAAUGGGGGGAACCCUGAUCCAGCCAUGCCGCGUGUGUGAAGAAGGCCUUAUGGUUGUAAAGCACUUUAAGCGAGGAGGAGGGUACUGGUAUUAAUACUACCAGGUACUGGACGUUACUCGCAGAAUAAGCACCGGCUAACUCUGUGCCAGCAGCCGCGGUAAUACAGAGGGUGCGAGCGUUAAUCGGAUUUACUGGGCGUAAAGCGUGCGUAGGCGGCUAAUUGAGUCGGAUGUGAAAUCCCCGAGCUUAACUUGGGAAUUGCAUUCGAUACUGGUUAGCUAGAGUGUGGGAGAUGAUGGUAGAAUUCCAGGUGUAGCGGUGAAAUGCUUAGCGAUCUGGAGGAAUACCGAUGGCGAAGUCAGCCAUCUGGCCUAACACUGACGCUGAGGUACGAAAGCAUGGGUAGCAAACAGG